rnacentral:rRNA from 1 species
AUGUGUAUGAGCAAGAAGGAUGGAGGAAUGGGUUUUAGGGGCAUGGAGGCUUUCAAUCAGGCUCUCUUAGCAAAACAAGCAUGGAGGCUGCUGCACUCAUCGACGUCUCUUUGUGCUAGGGUAUUGAAAGCUAGAUAUUACCCGAAUGGAUCCAUUCUCAGCGCUACAUGCCCGACUGGAGGCUCAUAUACAUUCAGAAGCAUUAUACAUGGC